rnacentral:rRNA from 1 species
GCGGCAGGCCUAACACAUGCAAGUCGAACGCUGUAGCAAUACAGAGUGGCAGACGGGUGAGUAACGCGUGGGAACGUGCCUUUCGGUUCGGAAUAACUCAGGGAAACUUGAGCUAAUACCGGAUACGCCCUUCGGGGGAAAGAUUUAUUGCCGAAAGAUCGGCCCGCGUCCGAUUAGCUAGUUGGUGUGGUAAUGGCGCACCAAGGCGACGAUCGGUAGCUGGUCUGAGAGGAUGAUCAGCCACACUGGGACUGAGACACGGCCCAGACUCCUACGGGAGGCAGCAGUGGGGAAUAUUGGACAAUGGGCGCAAGCCUAAUCCAGCCAUGCCGCGUGAGUGAUGAAGGCCCUAGGGUUGUAAAGCUCUUUCGCCAGGGACGAUAAUGACGGUACCUGGAUAAGAAGCCCCGGCUAACUUCGUGCCA